CCUAUAUAUAUCUCAUGCAAUUCAGUGGAGCAAAUUCAGUACGGCAGAAGAUGAAGCCCUAUCACUUUCUUUGCUUCCUUGCAGUAGCUGCCAUCUUGGUCUCAUCAGGGAAAAUCACUAUAGGCGAGAAGCACGGUAUUCGGGAAAGAUGCAUGGAAGUAAUGGAGGUUAAUGGGUGCAAUCUUUCAUCCUGUAAGCAGCAAUGCUGGGAAGUCAAGAAUGGGAAUGGAGUUUGCUUAGCUAAAGUGAGAGAGGGUUAUCAGUGUGUGUGUUUUUUUGAUUGUUAAAACUUGGAAUUUACCAAUCUAUACCACGUUUGAGGGCUAAGUUAUCAAUGGAAGUUGGCUCUUUUUCUUUUUCCGUUUCAUCGAAUAGUUUAUACUUUAUACUAUAUGUGUUCUGUUCACUAUUAGCACAAGCAACUUCUUGUUUAA